UGAAAAUGGAACCUAACCAUUUAAAAAAACAGGGGCGGAAUCUGAAAAGCCAAAAGAGUAAGAAACUA
rfam:Flavobacterium beibuense F44-8 contig37, whole genome shotgun sequence.